UCGCUUACCAAUCUCAUCUUUUUACCAUCAACCCAUGACGUUUUACUUCACACUCUAAAUCAAAACUCUGAGGGAAACCCUUCCUUAGAUCCUUUAACAAUUAAAAGUAACAAACUUUAUGGUCCAAAACAUGCAUAAGUUCUUUCACAUGCUCAAUACCGAUGCAAUCAAUCAUUUCUAUCUUACCAAUCCAUAUCUUGAC
rnacentral:lncRNA from 1 species